rnacentral:rRNA from 1 species
CCCUUAGAUGUUCUGGGCCGCACGCGCGCUACAAUGGUCUUCGCAAACGGAUGCAUUCUCGAAGGAGAAUGCCAAUCUUGGAAUCUAUGCCUUGGUCGGGACAGUUGCUUGCAAUUUUUCGACUCGAACCAGGAAUUCCUUGUAAUCGUGAUUCAUCACAUCACGAUGAAUACGUCCCUGCCCUUUGUACACACCGCCCGUCGCUCCUACCGAUCGAAGAGUUAGGUGAAUUGUUUUGAUCGAUAAGAUUUGACUAUGGUCAACUCUCGUUGUGAAAUUCUGUGAAUCUGACUGUUUAGAGGAAGGAAAAGUCGCAACA